GGCUCAGGAUGAACGCUAGCGGCAGGCUUAACACAUGCAAGUCGAGGGGCAUCGGGAGUAGCAAUACUUGCCGGCGACCGGCGCAAGGGUGCGUAACGCGUGAGCAACAUGCCCGUAUCAGGGGGAUAAUCCAUGGAAACGUGGUCUAAUACCCCAUAGUAAUUAUGUAAGGCAUCUUAUAUAAUUUAAAGCUUUGGUGGAUACGGAUUGGCUCGCGUGACAUUAGCUGGAUGGUAAGGUAACGGCUUACCAUGGCUACGAUGUCUAGGGGUUCUGAGAGGAAGGUCCCCCACACUGGAACUGAGACACGGUCCAGACUCCUACGGGAGGCAGCAGUGAGGAAUAUUGGACAAUGGAUGGAAAUCUGAUCCAGCCAUGCCGCGUGCAAGGAAGACGGCCCUAUGGGUUGUAAACUGCUUUUGUAUGGGAGCAAUAAGGGCUACGUGUAGUCCGAUGAGAGUACCAUACGAAUAAGCACCGGCUAACUCCGUGCCAGCCGCUGC
rnacentral:rRNA from 1 species